AACGAACGCUGGCGGCAUGCCUAACACAUGCAAGUCGAACGAGACCUUCGGGUCUAGUUGCGCACGGGUGCGUAACGCGUGGGAACCUGCCCUUAGGUUCGGAAUAACUCCCCGAAAGGGGUGCUAAUACCGGAUAAUGUCUUCGGACCAAAGGUUUAUCGCCUUUGGAUGGGCCCGCGUUGGAUUAGCUAGUUGGUAGGGUAGAAGCCUACCAAGGCGACGAUCCAUAGCUGGUCUGAGAGGAAGAUCAGCCACACUGGGACUGAGACACGGCCCAGACGCCUACGGGAGGCAGCAGUGGGGAAUAUUGGACAAUGGGCGAAAGCCUGAUCCAGCAAUGCCGCGUGAGUGAUGAAGGCCUUAGGGUUGUAAAGCUCUUUUACCCGGGAUGAUAAUGACAGUACCGGGAGAAUAAGCGCCGGCUAACUACGUG
rnacentral:rRNA from 1 species